GGGUGCAAGCGUUGUCCGGAAUCACUGGGCGUAAAGGGCGCGUAGGCGGCUCAUGAAGGCUGUGGUGAAAGUCCGGGGCUCAACCUCGGAUCGGCCGUGGCGACUCGUGGGCUGGAGCACUGUAGAGGCGGGUGGAAUUCCGGGUGUAGCGGUGGAAUGCGUAGAGAUCCGGAGGAACACCAACGGCGUAGGCAGCGCCCUAGACGAGACCUGACGCUCAGGCACGAAAGCGCGGGGAGCGAACAGG
rnacentral:rRNA from 1 species